CCACAGGGUUUAUGAGCAACUCUGAAGAACAAGUUGCUUGGUUCUAAGCACUAUGCAGCAUGUGGCUAACCCGUCUAGCAGCCAUCUCAAAGAAGAGCAGGACAAUGGGUGGAAGAUCCCCAUCUGUGAUGGGCUGAAUUGUGACCUUCCCAAAUUUAUGCAUUGAAGCCCUCACCCCCAGCACCUCAGACGGUGACUGCAUUCUGAGGACAUAGCCUUCUGCAACGUGCUUCUUUCUGCUGGACACCAGCCUCCUGAGAAGCAUCAUUUGGCCACAGCUGUGAGUUGUUCAGUUUCCUGCUGCCUUGAGUCCCGUUGUGUGGAGACAUUGAUUGUGAUGGACACAUUGAUUGUGAUGGACACAUUGAUUGUGAUGGACACUUAGGUUGUUUUCAGGUUUUUACUCUCCCAGACUCCCUUGCUAUGCUAUGUACAUUCUAGACACGGCUCCUUGUUCAGGACUUUCCGUAGAAGUAAAGUUGCUGGAUGAUACGAUUUGUACAUCUUCAGUUUUCCAAGUAGCUAGGUCAGUCUACAUUCUGACAGGUGGGGUAUAGAUCUACCACUCAUUUCACAUCCUUACCAACACUUGAUAUCAUCUUUAAUAUUUGCCAGCCUGGUGGGCAUGAAGUGAUAGCUCACUGUGGUUUCUAUUUGAAUUUCCCUGUUGGUUAACGAGGAUGGGUUUUUUCACAUGCAAAUUGGCCAUGGUGACACACCUAUUCAAAUCUUUUGCCUAUUUUUCUUGACAGAUUAAUAGGUGGGUGUUCUUUAUAUGUUUUGGAUACCAAUCUUGAGUCACUUAUGUGUAUUGCAAAUAUAUUCUCCCAAUUUUGGCUUAUUUUUUUGUUAUGGUGGCUUUUGCUGAACAGAAGUUAUUAAUUUUAACAGUUCCAUUCUUUAAUCUUUCCCUUUAUAGUUUGUAUAAUUGUGUCUGGUUUCAGAAAUCUUCCCCUUCUACAUACAAAUUCAUAAACAUAGUUUCCUCUAAUGUCUUUUAAAAGUUUUAUAGUUUUGUUUUUCACAUUAACUCCUUAGCCCACCUGAAAUUUGCUUGUUUGUUUGUUUUGUGACAGGGUCUUUCUGUUGCUUAGGCUGGAGUGCAGUGGCACAAUCAUGGCUCACUGCAGCCUCAACCUCCUGAGUUCAAGCAACCCUCCUGACUCAGCCUCUCAGGUAGCUGGGACUGCAGGUUCAUGUAACCACACCUGGCUCUUUUUUUAUUUUUAGUAGUGACAAGGUCUCUCUAUGUUGCCCAGGCUGGUCUCAAACUCCCAGCUCUGCCUCCCAAAGUGCUGGGAUUACAGGCCUGAGCCACUGUGCCUGGCCUAUAAUGAUUUUAUGUAAUGCUGGAGUUCGUGAGUGUUCUGGUUGUCUAUUGCUGCAUAACAGAUUACCCUCAAAACUUAGUUAUUUAAAAAACAUCCAGGCUGGGCACAGUGGCUCACACAUGUAAUCCCAGCACUUUGGGAGGCCAAAAUAGGCAGAUCCCUUGAGCCCAGGAGUUUGAGACCAGCCUGGGCAACAUGGUGAGGCAUCUCUGUAAAAGAAGUAGCUGGGUAUGGUAGUGCAUGCCUGUGGUCCCAACUACUCGGGAGGCUGAGGUAGGAGGAUUGCUUGAGCCUGGGGAGGUGGUAGGGGGAGGGCAGAGGUUGCAGUGAGCCGUGAUCACACCACCGCACUCCAGCCUGGGUGACAGAAGAAGGCUCUGUCUCAAAAAAAUAAAAAAUAAAACAAUAUCCACUUUAUUAUACCUACCAUUUUGCAGGUUAGGAAUCUGGGCAGGAUUCAGCUCAGGAAUAUUCCCAUUCCCUAUGGACUCGUUGAGGUCACUUGGUGGUAUUAAGCUGGCAGAUGGGCUGGUCUGGCGGGUUCGAGAGCCUCAUUCACAUUUCUGGCCCAUUGAUAGAAAAACUGGAAUUGCCUGGGAUUGUCACUGCAGUGCUUUCACGAUGCCUCUCUAGCUGGCAUUCUCAGGGCAGUCUUAUAUCUUACGUGACAGCUCAGGGCUCCUCGACAGAGUGUUCUGAGACUAAGAUGAAAGCCACACGCUUCUGCUCACUAGCCUUAGAAGUCAUUCAGUGCCACUUCUGCCAUAUUCUAUUAUUAAGUACUUUCCUAGGGCCAACCCAGAUUCAAGAGGAAAUAAAUUAGACUCUAUGUCUCAGUGGAAAGAGUAGCAAAAAAAAAAAAAAAAAAAAGUGGGCAUCUUACAUUUUCCAUAGGUAGCUAGUAGUUCAUGAUUUUUAUAUCUACAUUUCAUAAGUGAGAUUGCAAACUUCUUUUCAGCUACUGUUCUUAUCUGGUUUUGCUACCAAAGUUAUGCAAGCCUCAUUAAAAUGAGAUGGUGAGUCUUACCUACGUUUCUCUAUUCUGAAAUAAUUUAAGACUACUUUUCCUUCUUUCUUUUUUUUUGUUUUGUUUGUUUGUUUUUAGAGACAGAGUCUCACUAUGUUGUCCAGGCUGGUCUCAAACUCCUGGUCUCAAGCGAUCCUUCCACCUUGGCCUUUCAAAGUGCUGGGAUUGCAGGCAUGAACCACCGUGCCCAUUUCUUGAAUGUUGGUAGAACUUGUGGCUAAAAGCAUCUGAGCCUGAUGUUUCCUUUGUAGGAAGAUUUUUAAACUGUUGAUUCAAUUUUUGUAUUGAUUAUGACUAUUUGAGUUUUCUGUGUUCUCUUGAGUUUGAGUUUAUUAUGAAAAGUCACAUUUAUCUAGUAAUUUGUUUCAUCUACAUUUUCAAAUUUACUGGUAUAAUGUUUAUAAUAACCUCUUAAAUCUUUGUAAUGUCUUGAAGCAUCAGUAUUUA
rnacentral:lncRNA from 10 species